CGAGCAUGCUGUAGGUAUUACAGGUACUACGCUGCAGUGGUCGGUAUCAUAUCUAUCUCAUGUAAAUGGAGAGUCCUCUUCAUACUCUAAGGUUAAUUAUGUUCCACAGGGUUCAGUGCUAGGACCGAUUCUGCUUACGUUAUACAUCCUUCACUUAGGCAGCACCAUCAGGGUUUACCUUACAAUAUAAAGCACCUUGAAGAGACUGUUGUUGUGAUUUGGUGCUGAAUAAAUAAAAAUGAAUUGAACUGAAUUACCAGUGAAGCAGCAGCAUUCGGCCUGUUAGAGUCAACACAAAUGUCUCCACCCACGCUCAUGUUGUGCUUUGUUAUCCUCUCAGUCCCCCAGGUGGAGGUGGAGGUGGAUUCAGGGGUUACGUCUGUGCAGCUGCCCUGCAAAAUCACACUUCAGCUGCCUGAAGACGCUAAGGUGGAGUGGAAGUGCUUACAUGACAGCAAGAUCCACAUGUAUGAGAACGCCUCUGACCACACUGAAGAACAGCACCAGGCUUACAGAAAAAGAACAAAGAUGAAUGAAGACCUGCUGAAAACUGGAGACCUCAGUCUGACCCUGAAAUACCCCACAGACUAUGACAUAGACACCUACACCUGCACCGUCUACAGCAGGGAGGGAAACAUCCUGCUGAAGAGAAAGGUGGAGCUGAAAGUCAGAGACUGUCAGUUGGAGGUGGAGGAGGGGGCGGAGUCUGUACAGCUGCCCUUCAAAACCAACGAAAACCUGCCUGAGGCUGCUAAAGUGGAGUGGUCACAUUGUGAUCCAUUAAUGUUGGCCCAUAUGUACGAGAAUGGCUCUGACCAGCCUCACAGGCUGCACCUACUAUAUAGAGACCGAGUGAAAAUACAUAAAGACCUCCUCAAAACUGGAGACCUCAGUCUGACCCUGAAACACCCCACACACAGAGACAGUGGGAGAUACAGAUGUGAUGUCUACACUAAGAACAUCUGCAUCAGAGGAAAGACAGUCCAGCUCAAAAUCAGAGGUUUGUGUGUGUGUGUGUGUGUGUGUGUGUGUGUGUGUGUGUGUGUGUGUGUGUGUCUGUGUCUGUGUCUGACCGUCUUGUGUCUCCACUGCAGGGAGAGUCCAGGACCAGGAUCAAAUAAGGGACAUCAGGAACAGAAUCCUCUGAUGGCAGAUCAAUCAGUUAGAAAAUAACCAAUGGUCUUUUUAUGGCAGCUGACUCCGGUUUACUUUGCAUUCUUAUUCUUCUCGAUCUGAGUGCUGCUUUUGACACCAUUUCUGGCUCUAUUCUUCUCAGUAGGCUAGCCUCCAUCGGUAUGUCCCAUACUCCAAUAAAUCCGACCUCCUCUUGGUAGGCACUAAAUCAACAUUAUCCAGAACCAACAGUUUCUCUGUUACUAUCAAUAACUGGCCAGUCUCGUUUCUUCCUCUGUGGAAUGUUUGGUUGUCAUCCUUGACAGUACUCUAUCUUUCAAUUCACACAUUAAUAAUGUCACUCAGUCUGCAUAUUUGCGCAACAUUAACCAUCUCUGUCCUUUUCUCACUCCACAUGCAACUGGUGUUCUUGUCCAUAGCCUUGUUACUUCCCAGAUUGAUUAUUGUAAUUUGCUUCUUUUUGGUCUUACUCAAAAAUCCAUCCACAAGCUUCAACGCAUCCAGAACUCUGCUGCCAGUAUUACCACCAGGACCCCUUCUAUCCAUCACAUCACUCCUGUCCUGCAGCAGCUUCAUUGGCUCCCAGUCAAAUAUCGUAUCAAUUUCAAAAUACUCAUACACAUUUAAGGCUAUUCAUCAAUUCUCUCCUCCAUAUCUGUCUGAUCUGGUUCAGCUGCCCAUCCCAUGUCGGUGUCUUAGAUGCUCUUCUUCCCUUUCACUCUCUGUCCCUUCCCCCCAUCUUGCCACCAUGAGCAGCAGGGCUUUCAGCUGCUCUGCUCCUCAACUCUGGAAAUCCCUACCUCCUGAUUUAAGAAAUAUCUCUUCCUUCUCUCCCUUUAUGUUCCAACUCAAAACUCACUUGUUCAAAAUAGCUUAUCCCACAUAACCUCUCCACUCUGCUAUUUUAUAUUUGUUUUAUGUCUUAUGCUUUUAUGAUUGUGUAAACUGCUGGCUUUUAUGUUGCUUUUAUUAUUCUACUGUGUACAGUGUCCUUGAGUGUUUUGAAAAGCGCUUUCAAAUAAAAUGUAUUAUCAUUAUCAUUAUUAUUAUUAUUAUUAUUAUUAUUAUUAUUAUCAUUAUUAUUAUCUGUGUGUUCUUUGAUUAUUGAUCAGCAGUGUUGGGGAAUAAUGCAAUACAUGUACCGCCGUUACGUAUUCCAUCCAUCCAUCUUCAUCCGCUUAAUCCGGGGCCGGGUCGCUGGAGGUAGCAGCCUAAGCAAAGAAGCCCAGAUCUCCCUCUCCCCAGCCACCUCCUCCAGCUUAUCUGGGGGAACACCAAGGCAUUCCCAGGCCAGAUAAAAUCUCUCUAGCGUGUCCGGGGUCUGCACCUGUCGACUAGCGGACGAACUCUCCUUUCCAGUAUCCUGGCAUGGACUUUCCCAGGGAGGCUGAGGAGUGUGAUCCCCCCUGUAGUUGGAAAACACCCCCCGGUCCCCCUUCUUGAAGAUGGGGACCAGCAACCUUGUCUGCCAGUCCAGGGGUACUGCCCCUGAUCUCCACACAACAUUGUAGAGGCGUGUCAACCAGGACAACUCUACAACAUCCAGGGCCUUCGGGAACUUGGGGUGGACCUCAUCAACACCAGGGGCUCUGCCAUCAAGGAGUUGUUUAACUGCCUCAGUGACCUUGCCCCUGGAAAUUGGCAGGUCAUUCCCCUCAUCCCCAGACUCUGCUUCCUCCUUGGAAGACGUGUCAGUGGGAUUAAGGAGGUCCUCGAAGUAUUCCUUCCACCGCCUGACAAUAUUCAAAGUCAGCAGCGCUCCGCCAGCACUAUACACAGUGCAGGUAGAGCACCGCUUUCCUGACGGUUUGCCAGAAUCUCUUCGAGGCAGUCCGAAAGUAUUUUUCCAUGGCCUCUCCAAACUCCUCCCACACCCGAGUUUUUGCUUCAGCCACUGCCCGAGCCGCAUUCUGCUUGGCCUGUCGAUACCUGUUGGC
ensembl:lncRNA